rnacentral:rRNA from 1 species
CUCAACCUGAACUCAGUCGUGAUUACCCGCUGAACUUAAGCAUAUCAUUUAGCGGAGGAAAAGAAACUAAAAAGGAUUCCCUUAGUAACGGCGAGUGAAACGGGAAGAGCCCAGCGCCGAAUCGAUCAGUCUUUGGCUGCUUCGAAAUGUGGCGUAUAGGUGUAAGUUUCCAGCAGUGUCGUAUGUCCGAAGUCCUUACGAUUGAGGCCAUAAACCAGAGAGGGUGCGAGCCCC